AUUGAACGCUGGCGGCAGGCCUAACACAUGCAAGUCGAGCGGGCGGCGGACGGGCGAGCAAUGUAUGGGGAUCUUCCUGAUAGAGGGGGAUAACUACUGGAAACGGUGGCCACAACCGCACACUAUCGGCUGAACCCAUAUGGGAUUAGCUAGUAGGUGGGGUAAAGGCUCACCAAGGCGACGAUCUCUACCUGGUCUGAGAGGAUGAUCAGCCACACUGGAACUGAGACACGGCCCAGACUCCUACGGGAGGCAGCAGUGGGGAAUAUUGGACAAUGGGCGAAAGCCUGAUGCAGCCAUGCCGCGUGUAUGAAGAAGGCCUUAGGGGUGUAAAGUACUUUCAGCGGGGAGGCGUUACCCACAGAAGAAGCACCGGCUAACUCCGUGCCAGCAGCCGCGGUAAUUC
rnacentral:rRNA from 1 species